GUUGCAAAGAACUUUGAAGAGAGAGUUCAAGAGUACGUGAAACUGCUGAGAGGCAAACUGGUGGGCCCUCGAAAUCCCGCAUGCGGGGAGAUUCAGUCGGGUGUCGGCGGCCGUCUCCCGCGAGUUCGUUGCAACCGAAGAUCGGGGCACGUUCUAGGAGGCGCGUUCGUCAGAACCCGACGCAUUUCUCGCCCGCACGAGAGGACGCCGCAGCCGGUCGGGUAGCUGCGCGUGUCGGCCAUGAGGACGUGGCAGCGGCAGGUGACCGGCGGCCCUAGGCCUCUCUCGGAGGCACUAACGGUCGACGGUUGAUUAGCCGGCUCGUCCGUGGCGCGACACCCGACCGAGGUCGAGAAGAGAGAGUUCCGUGGCGGAAUCCCGGAACGAAUCCACUACUUUCUAACUUGAGAGCGAGCCGUCGGACAGGCGCGUUCCUGCGUGGUCGGGCAGUCACCGAACUGGUCGAUCUGGUGGGAGCGCGUCGCUGGUUUCCGAGUCUGGAUCUCGCGGAGGAUGGAAGGCUGGCGGCGAGUAGGUCGGUAACCCACCCGACCCGUCUUGAAACACGGACCAAGGAGUCUAACAUGUGCGCGAGUCGCAGGGUCUUGAAUAGGCCCACAGGCGAAAUGAAAGUGAAGGCCGCCGCCGCUUCCGAGCCCCUUUUCGGGGGGGCGAGGGAGCGUCGCGGCCCGGUCGGGACUCGCACGUGACACGGCACGUGACGAAGCACCGACGACCCGCCCUGGUUCUAUCUACGAUAGGAACUCAAACGGAGUUCGAGCGCACACGUUGGGACCCGAAAGAUGGUGAACUAUGCCUGGGCAGGACGAAGCCAGAGGAAACUCUGGUGGAGGUCCGCAGCGGUUCUGACGU
rnacentral:rRNA from 1 species